rnacentral:rRNA from 2 species
ACGCUGGCGGCAGGCCUAACACAUGCAAGUCGAGCGGAAACGACAACAUUGACCCUUCGGGUGAUUUGUUGGGCGUCGAGCGGCGGACGGGUGAGUAAUGCCUGGGAAAUUGCCCUGAUGUGGGGGAUAACCAUUGGAAACGAUGGCUAAUACCGCAUAACGUCUACGGACCAAAGAGGGGGACCUUCGGGCCUCUCGCUUCAGGAUAUGCCCAGGUGGGAUUAGCUAGUUGGUGAGGUAAUGGCUCACCAAGGCGACGAUCCCUAGCUGGUCUGAGAGGAUGAUCAGCCACACUGGAACUGAGACACGGUCCAGACUCCUACGGGAGGCAGCAGUGGGGAAUAUUGCACAAUGGGCGCAAGCCUGAUGCAGCCAUGCCGCGUGUAUGAAGAAGGCCUUCGGGUUGUAAAGUACUUUCAGUCGUGAGGAAGGCRUURRAGUUAAUAGCUUUAKYGUUUGACGUUAGCGACAGAAGAAGCACCGGCUAACUCCGUGCCAGCAGCCGCGGUAAUACGGAGGGUGCGAGCGUUAAUCGGAAUUACUGGGCGUAAAGCGCAUGCAGGUGGUUUGUUAAGUCAGAUGUGAAAGCCCGGGGCUCAACCUCGGAACCGCAUUUGAAACUGGCAGGCUAGAGUACUGUAGAGGGGGGUAGAAUUUCAGGUGUAGCGGUGAAAUGCGUAGAGAUCUGAAGGAAUACCAGUGGCGAAGGCGGCCCCCUGGACA